GAUCCUGGCUCAGGAUGAACGCUAGCUACAGGCUUAACACAUGCAAGUCGAGGGGCAGCAUGGUCUUAGCUUGCUAAGGCCGAUGGCGACCGGCGCACGGGUGAGUAACACGUAUCCAACCUCCCGCAUACUCGGGAAUAGCCUUUCGAAAGAAAGAUUAAUGCCCGAUGGUUUCAAGGGAUUGCAUGGUAUCUUGAAUAAAGAUUCAUCGGUAUGCGAUGGGGAUGCGUU
rnacentral:rRNA from 1 species